GCCUAACUGGCUCAAUCAGUAGAGCACGUGACUCUUGAUCUCGAGUUUGUGAGUUCGAGCCCCAUUAUGGGUA
rnacentral:tRNA from 1 species